UAUGUACUCCCUCCGUUCGGAAUUACUUGUCGCAGAAAUGGAUGUAUCUAGAUGUAUUUUAGUUCUAGAUACAUCCAUUUCCGAGACAAGUAAUUCUGAAUGGAGGGAGUACAUA
rnacentral:pre_miRNA from 1 species